ACAACAGAGAACUGGGCUUUAUGACCCACUAAGUUUUUCCAGCCCUGUGCCUGAAGACACAGGAGGCACUGGCAAAAGAAAUUCUGCUUGUUCAUGUAAGAAGGGAAGCUUUUAGAAAACUUUCGGAAGUAUGAAUACUGAGACCAUUUUAAGGCUAUCUUUUAACAAACAGCCAAAGCAAUAAAACCAAUACUAAAUCCAUAAAACAAAAGGAUUGGAUUGCUUAAGUAAAAAGAGGCCAGAGUGAAAGCCUGACAGGACAAAGAAGACCAGGAAUGAGGGAAGAAAAAACUCAGUUCCCUCUCCUGCAACCAAAAAUCGACUUUGUCAACAAAAGCAAGAGUUUUUUGGAGGGGCUUGAAGCAGGCCUCCACUAGUUCCCUAAUUUGGUUUCAGAGAUGGUAUGAUGGCAGGUUCACCUUCCGAGAUGCAGAAGACUG
rnacentral:lncRNA from 1 species